rnacentral:rRNA from 1 species
AAUCAACGCUGGCGGCGUGCCUCAGACAUGCAAGUCGAACGAUUAAGACUCCCUUCGGGGAGUGUAUAAAGUGGCGUACGGGUGAGUAACACGUAAGUAAUCUACCUUCGAGUGGGGAAUAACAUCGGGAAACCGAUGCUAAUACCGCAUAAUGCAGCGGCAUCGAAAGAUGACAGUUGUUAAAGGAGCAAUUCGCUUGAAGAGGAGCUUGCGGCAGAUUAGCUAGUUGGUAAGGUAAUGGCUUACCAAGGCUACGAUCUGUAUCCGGUCUAAGAGGACGGUCGGACACACUGACACUGAAUAACGGGUCAGACUCCUACGGGAGGCAGCAGUCGGGAAUUUUGGGCAAUGGGCGAAAGCCUGACCCAGCAACGCCGCGUGAAGGAUGAAGCUUUUCGGAAUGUAAACUUCGAAAGAAUGGGAAGAAUAAAUGACGGUACCAUUUAUAAGGUCCGGCUAACUACGUGCCAGCCGCCGCGGUAAAAC